UACGUAGGGGGCAAGCGUUGUCCGGAUUUACUGGGCGUAAAGAGCGUGUAGGCGGCCACGCAGGUCCGUUGUGAAAACUGGAGGCUCAACCUCCAGACGUCGACGGAAACCGUAUGGCUAGAGUCCGGAAGAGGAGAGUGGAAUUCCUGGUGUAGCGGUGAAAUGCGCAGAUAUCAGGAAGAACACCCGUGGCGAAGGCGGCUCUCUGGGACGGUACCGACGCUGAGACGCGAAAGCGUGGGGAGCGAACAGG
rnacentral:rRNA from 1 species